rnacentral:rRNA from 1 species
AUGGAGAGGAGGAGGAAGGCAAUGUGGCUGUACCCGAAGGUGGUCGGCUUCAACCCUCCCGAGAGAUGGGGGCACUCCGCCUGCUUCUUCGAGGGAGUCAUUUACGUCUUCGGGGGAUGCUGCGGCGGCCUGCAUUUCAGCGACGUGCUCACCCUCAACCUGGACACAAUGGCGUGGAGCUCCCUGGCGACCAAGGGGCAGAGGCCCGGGACACGGGACAGCCACGGCGCCGCGCUCAUCGGCCACCGGAUGCUCGUCUUCGGCGGCACCAACGGCAACAAGAAGGUGAACGACCUUCACGUGCUGGACCUACGCACCAAGGAGUGGAGCAGGCCUCCCUGCAAGGGGACCCCGCCCUCGCCAAGGGAGAGCCACACCGUCACCACGGCGGCCGGCGGCGACAAGCUGGUGGUCUUCGGCGGGAGCGGGGAAGGGGAGGGGAACUACCUCAACGACGUGCACGUGCUGGACCUGCCCACCAUGACGUGGACGUCGCCACGGGUCACCGGCGAGGUCGUCCCCGCGCCCAGGGACAGCCACGGCGCCGUCACGGUCGGCAACAGGCUCUUCGUCUACGGAGGGGACUGCGGAGACCGCUACCUCGGCGAGGUGGACGUGCUCGACAUGGACACCAUGGCAUGGUCAAGGUUUUCAGUAAAAGGAGCCUCACCUGGUGUCCGGGCAGGUCAUGCAGCCCUUGGCAUUGGAUCUAAGAUCUAUGUAAUUGGAGGAGUUGGUGAUAAGCAAUACUACAGUGAUGCAUGGAUUCUUGAUGUGGUUGAUCGGUCUUGGACUCAACUUGAGACGUGCGGGCAGCAACCCCAGGGCCGGUUUUCUCAUUCAGCAGUCAUCAUGAAUACUGAUAUUGCAAUCUAUGGAGGAUGCGGUGAAGAUGAACGGCCCCUGAAUGAGCUACUCGUUCUGCAAUUAGGCUCUGGGCAUCCAAAUGGCCGAUACAACAUCUCCAUGUGCAAGAUUUUGAGCAACCACUGGAGUCAGGAGAAGCGCAAGCUGUUGAGAGCACAACACCACAAGGAUGCAAGCCCAAGCAACCGGGAACUCGGUCAUAAACCUGGAGAAGCAGAAAUUGAGCAAAUUAGAAACCCUUUCCUCCGUGGUCUAGAAAAUGGGCAUGUGAAAAGAAGAAAAACUGGAGAUGCUGGUCCAAAUGAGAUGGAGUUGGAGCAGGAGGAGCACUCACUAUCGCUGUCCCAGCAUUCGUCCCCUUCCCAGUCCGAAAAAGAUCAGGAGCAGAAUGGAGCUCAGAUGAUUUCAGGCGGGUUAAUCUCAUCAGCAAUGCAACCGUUGGUUCGUCUUAACGCCAACGGUUCUCGAAGGACUAGCGGAGGCAUCAAGACUGACCAGUUUGUCCGCGGCAUUGCACCGCAGCAACGACACGAAAUGCAGUUCCUAACAGCUGAAGCUAAGCAGCAGCACAGGCCAUCCGGCCCACCUCUUAUUGGAGCUGAGGUUCAUGGGACGGUUGAUGGAGCUUUCGACUCGGGGUAUCUGGUCACAGCCGUCGUCAGUGGGCAGCUUUUCAGAGGCGUUCUGUUCGCUCCUGGACCCGGAGUAACAGCGCCAAGACCUGUAAUGCAGCAUCAGAUUCUCAAUAGCUCGGCGAUUCCUCCCCAGCACCAGCACGCCUUCCCGGUUCACGCCCGACCGCUGCCGCAGGCCACAGGCUUUGUACGGCCUGACUACAGUCACCAUGCUCGGCGUGGGUUCCCGGCCAGACUUGUCAAGUCCGAGCCGGAGAGGAGCGGCAGUGACCUUCACCAUGUUGUGCUCACGCUCGGAGGCCCAGGAGGGGGCAACUGA